rnacentral:rRNA from 1 species
CCUACGGGGGGCAGCAGUGGGGAAUAUUGCGCAAUGGGCGAAAGCCUGACGCAGCGACGCCGCGUGAGGGAUGAAGGUCCUCGGAUCGUAAACCUCUGUCAGCAGGGAAGCACGGUCACUGUGCUAAUCAGCAGUGAAUUGACGGUACCUGCAAAGGAAGCACCGGCUAACUCCGUGCCAGCAGCCGCGGUCAUACGGAGGGUGCGUGCGUUAAUCGGAAUUACUGGGCGUAAAGCGCUCGUAGGCGGUAUGUCAAGUCAAGGGGGAAAUCCCCGCGCUCAACGUGGGAACUGCCUUUGAAACUGGCAAACUGGAGUGUGUGAGAGGAUAGUGGAAUUCGAGGUGUAGGAGUGAAAUCCGUAGAUAUCUGGAGGAACAUCAGUGGCGAAGGCGACUAUCUGGCACAUAACUGACGCUGAGGAGCGAAAGCGUGGGUAGCAAACAGGAUUAGAUACCCUGGUAGUC